rnacentral:lncRNA from 1 species
ACCUCAGACUUAUCAUAAGAUUCCGCACCAAAACAAUUUAGUUCGGCAUAAGCUUUCAAAGAAUACUUUGAAUUUCAUAAACAUUUGUCUAGCUGAAUCAAAUAGCUUAGACACAUAUCAAUAAUUCGAAUUUCAAUCGAAAUAUUUCUGGCCAAAUUCAGUUGGCAAUAAAUUAUCUUUAAAAUUCUUAAAAUCAUUUUGACGUCAUGAUACCGCACUGUAUAUACAGUCCGUUGAGG